rnacentral:misc_RNA from 1 species
AAAAAGAGUGGGAAGGGGUGAAGCUAAUGGAGGAAGUCGUCCCAUUCUUUCAGUCAGUGAGGUUGCCACGAACAGCAGCCACAGCGGAAGAUUGUGUGGUUGAGAUCGCAAAGGCAGUGAAGCAAAAGUUGGGACCAUUGGAUCCUGUUUUUGCUCAUGCUGCUGAGGCCAUGUCUGAGUGGAUCAAGCUCUGGAAGGCCCUUGGUUCCGGUUCCUUACCAC